rnacentral:lncRNA from 1 species
AUGGGGCCUAGAACCAAGAAGAACCAGGAGAACUUAGUCAGAGGAACAACUGCUUUUCUUUCCUUAUCUGUCACUCAUAGUAGUGGUAGAGAUAAUCUAGUUUUUUCCCUGCCAUCAAGGAGGCCUAAGAAAUCAAGAUAGGUAGAAACUAUUUAACUUUUAACAUUAAGGCAAUGGACUGAAUUUUAUCCCCCAUGAAAUUCCAUGUUGAGGCCCUAAUACCAGUGCGACUGUAUUCGGAGAUAGGGCUUUUAGGAAGUAAAUAAAGUUAAAUGGAUCAUAAGGGUGAGGUCCUGAUCAAAUAGGAUUGGCAGCCUUAUAAAAAGAGGAAGAGAUUCUCUCCAUUCCUCCCUCCCACCUUUUUUCAACAUUCAUGUGCGGGGCAAAGACCAUGUGAGGAAACAGAGAAGGUGGCUGUCUGCAAGCCAGGAAGAGAGCCCUCACCAGAAACUGAAUCUGCUGACACCUUGAUCUUGGACUUCCCCAGCUCCAGAACUUGAGAAAUAAGUUCCUGUUGUUUAAGCCAUCCAAUCUGUAGUAUUUUGUUAUGGCAGCCCAAGGGUACCUAUGAUGGCGGGCCUGCAUGAGAUGCUGGAAGACGUGUAGAACUGAGUGAAAUUUUCUUUGUCCUCAGAGAGGUGAUGGCUCUAUUAAAGUGUCCAGAGAGAACUCAUCUCACACCAAGGGCAUAGGAGCAGCCACACUUAAGAUCAACUGUCCUUAACCACAGCAUCAUGAUACGCUGGAUUACCCAAUCGCUUGUAAGGAAAGACAGAGAUGAAGUUAUCCUGACUGCUGAGAUGAGCAGUUUACCCUAGGAGGACCUGUGGGACUAUGUUUUGGUAAAGAAAAGUUGAGCUGCUCUGUGGGAGUGAGGUUCCAAUGAAGCCAAAUGUACAAGAGUACUGAGUAUCUCUACAGUCAUCUGAUGAGCUAAAGAAGAGGCCACAUCCGCCAUCAUAGGAAAUAAAUCUCCUGACAUCUAGCUUAUAAUUACGGGAAACUCAAGGAGAACUUUCUGAAGAUUGAAAUCUGUAAGAAAGUAGAUUUCCAGAAAAGAAGUUCCCUCCUGUGAACAGAAAAAAGGACGUAUGGGAAAACACCAGGCUACAUCUUUAUACAUGUGCUGUUGACGAAAAACAAAUGCCGCGUUUUCUCAGGAAGGAGUCAGCUGGACUCUUGGCAGCACCUCUUGACCGAAGUUUUGGUGGAAAGUGGAGACCAGGUGCUAACAACUAUUGAUUGAUAACUGACGUUGAGAGGAUCUUAGCAGGCAGGAGGAGGCAAGGCCUCAGGUACAAGAGGACUAUAGAAAGAGAAUGUGCCUGCCAAAAAGCCAGGUCUUCCCUACUGGGGCAGGAUAAAGUCAAACACAAUAGGAGUUCCCUGGCUGCCAUCUUAUUCAUCUCAGGAGUUCAUCAGAAAAAGAAUCCAGAAUCUAACAACCCAAAGGAGGCUUAAUUUUUGUACUUAGUACAAAGCUACAAAAAUUAAGGUGAAUAAUGGCACCUUUGUUUUUGUUUUAUGCUAUCGUACGCAACUCAAGAAUAAUGACAUAAUGACAUCUUUUUUUUUUUUUUUUUUGAGAUGGGGUCUCGCUCUAUUGCCCAGGCUGGAGUGCAGU